AAGUCGUAACAAGGUUUCCGUAGGUGAACCUGCGGAAGGAUCAUUACAUAACAAAACGUACAUGCACACGCACCUUGGUGCGCUGUGUGUGCUACACACAAACCCUUGUGAACCGUUUCUGUCACCUUUGGCGUAACCACAACAAAGUCGCCUCGGCGGCCGUGUUACGUCAAACGGUACCCAACCAUUAUAAACCAUUUGCACAAAAAUAUAAAGACUGAAUAAGAUUUUCUAAUUGAAAUACAACUUUUAACAAUGGAUCUCUUGGCUCUU
rnacentral:misc_RNA from 1 species